GGCAACUUGGCCGAGCGGUACAAGGCGCCACCUUAAGGUAUAUUCAACCCUUAACAAACUAUCUUGGGUUUCAAGAUAUUCCGUGGUCCGAAAGGGCGUGAGUUCGAAUCUCACAGUUGUCA